CCUACGGGAGGCUGCAGUGAGGAAUAUUGGUCAAUGGGCGCGAGCCUGAACCAGCCAAGUAGCGUGAAGGAUGACUGCCCUACGGGUUGUAAACUUCUUUUAUAAAGGAAUAAAGUGAGGCACGUGUGCCUUUUUGUAUGUACUUUAUGAAUAAGGAUCGGCUAACUCCGUGCCAGCAGCCGCGGUAAUACGGAGGAUCCGAGCGUUAUCCGGAUUUAUUGGGUUUAAAGGGAGCGUAGAUGGGUUGUUAAGUCAGUUGUGAAAGUUUGCGGCUCAACCGUAAAAUUGCAAUUGAUACUGGCAGUCUUGAGUACAGUUGAGGUAGGCGGAAUUCGUGGUGUAGCGGUGAAAUGUUUAGAUAUCAUGAAGAACUCCGAUCGCGAAGGCAAGUGUCCGGGGUGCAACUGACGCUGAGGCUCGAAAGUGCGGGUAUCAAACAGGAUUAGAUACCCCAGUAGUC
rnacentral:rRNA from 1 species